rnacentral:rRNA from 1 species
UACGUAGGGUGCGAGCGUUAAUCGGAAUUACUGGGCGUAAAGCGUGCGCAGGCGGUUCGUUGUGUCUGAUGUGAAAGCCCCGGGCUCAACCUGGGAAUGGCAUUGGAAACUGGCGAGCUAGAGUGUGGCAGAGGGGGGUGGAAUUCCGCGUGUAGCAGUGAAAUGCGUAGAUAUCGGGAGGAAUACCAGUGGCGAAGGCGGCUUCUUGGCCUGUUCUUGACGCUGAGGCGCGAAAGCUGGGGGGAGCAAACGGGG